rnacentral:rRNA from 1 species
CCUACGGGCGACUGCAGUGAGGAAUAUUGGUCAAUGGGCGCGAGCCUGAACCAGCCAAGUAGCGUGAAGGAUGACUGCCCUACGGGUUGUAAACUUCUUUUAUAAAGGAAUAAAGUGAGGCACGUGUGCCGGUUUGUAUGUACCUUAUGAAUAAGGAUCGGCUAACUCCGUGCCAGCAGCCGCGGUAAUACGGAGGAUCCGAGCGUUAUCCGGAUUUAUUGGGGUUAAAGGGAGCGUAGCGGGGUUGUUAAGUCAGUUGUGAAAGUUUGCGGCUCAACCGUAAAAUUGCACUUGAUACUGGCAGUCUUGAGUUCAGUUGCGGUAGGCGGAAUUCGUGUUGUAGCGGU